rnacentral:rRNA from 1 species
CCUACGGGCGGCAGCAGUGGGGAAUAUUGGACAAUGGGGGCAACCCUGAUCCAGCCAUGCCGCGUGUGUGAAGAAGGCCCUCGGGUUGUAAAGCACUUUCAGUGAGGAAGAACGCCUGGUGGUUAAUACCCAUCAGGAAAGACAUCACUCACAGAAGAAGCACCGGCUAACUCCGUGCCAGCAGCCGCGGUAAUACGGAGGGUGCGAGCGUUAAUCGGAAUUACUGGGCGUAAAGCGCGCGUAGGUGGCUUGAUAAGCCGGUUGUGAAAGCCCCGGGCUCAACCUGGGAAUGGCAUCCGGAACUGUCAAGCUAGAGUGCAGGAGAGGAAGGUAGAAUUCCCGGUGUAGCGGUGAAAUGCGUAGAGAUCGGGAGGAAUACCAGUGGCGAAGGCGGCCUUCUGGACUGACACUGACACUGAGGUGCGAAAGCGUGGGUAGCAAACAGGAUUAGAUACCCCUGUAGUC